rnacentral:lncRNA from 1 species
UUUUAAUAAUUUUCUUUUGUUCUAAAUUAUUAUAUUAAAAUUAUCUGCAACAUUUAUUUUUGAUAUAUUAUAAUUAUAUUGUUUAAAUUUUGGGAUCAAACAAGUCGAUCGAUUGUUGUCGUUGAUUCGGCGAAUUUAUGGUUUGGUAGAUUUUUUCUAGUUUGGCAACUUUGUUCGUGGUUCUUGUGUCAGACUGACAGCUGGCUGAGGAGAGACAGGUUAUGGAAAGUGGGGACGUCGCGAGAGCGCCGGAGACUCCACUGCCGUAACAAUAAUGUGGGCAAAUUAAAAGCCACGAUUUAUCGGCGACAUCAAGAGCCGAUGUCUCGAUUUAAAUAAAUAACUUAACCGAGAUGGUGAGUCCUCGCAAUUCUUCGUGCAUAUUUUUGCACCAACUUUGUGAUAACCUCGAGGUCCUUGUUUUCAGCAACAUCACUGAAAUCCCAUCGCCUAAGGUCCAGUGGGUGGGUUUAGGUUUCAUCCGAGCGAUGCCCAACUAUCCCGGAUGAACCUAUGGGGUUUUUGUUUUUUCCUUUAACGUUUUAAAGUUUUAACGUUUUUGCAAGUUUUAAUCUAAGAAGAAGUUUAUGAUUGGAUCAGACUAUUUCAACAAAUUUUGUGAAUGAAGAUUGCUACUGUUUUCUUCUGCGUUUGCAAGUUAUUUCAAGCUUCAUUUCGGCGGAGCUUGCCUUGGUUGUUUGCACGUCGAAGCUUUCCUUUGUGCGGCGCGCAUGUGGAUGUGCUGCGCCUCUCCUUUUGUCAACACUCCGGAUAAGGCCCGGUGAAGGUCUGCGAGGUUGACCGGUGGACGUGCAGCCCGCCAGCUGCGUAACAGUUGGCCCGCUGCGCCGCCAUCGUCCAGCACGCCCUGGCCUGAGCCGGCCUCAACUCAUCACCUGUACGGUAUUCCGGAACGCCUCAGGUAGGCCUGAUAGUCGGAGGUCCUCGAGUAAGUGAGGUGCCUACAGGUGUACGGACAGUGUUUUUAAACAUAGUGAUAUCCCAUGGUUGUUACGGAGUGACAAUUAACCUGACGGACCAAAGCGCGACCUGUCUCCCUCCAUAGGGUUUCUACCUACCUAUGGAUAAUUAAAUUUGUAUAUUUAAAAUUAUACAGUGUACAAAUUCAAA